rnacentral:ncRNA from 1 species
CUCGUUCGCCUGAGCACAGCGAUGGAGAACCAACCAGCCGGACCCCGGAUGACCCUCCUGCAGCUCAGGUGCGGCGAGGCUGUUGCAAUUAGGAUUUGGCUCUUGGUCGUGGAGAGGAGCGUAAAUUGGGUGGUAAAUUUCAUCUAAAGCUAAAUACAGGCUCGAGACCGAUAGCAAACAAGUACCAUGAGGGAAAGAUGAAAAGGACUUUGAAAAGAGAGCUAAAAGUGCUUGAAAUCGCUGAACUGGAAGCGAAUGGAACUAGUGCUCUGGUUGCUGGCGCAAAAAAUCCCAGCAGUCACCUUCAUUGCGCACAGAGGUUUGACACCUGAGAACUUGCACAAGUGCUAGACUCCUUGGUCCGUGUUUCAAGACGG